AAAAGUAGCGUUAUAUCCACAGCCAUGUCUGCGACAAACGGGUGGAGGGGGACCCAUGGGGCUCCUGUAAACAAAUUGACACGUCACCCGGACAUGACGCAAUCACAGCGCGACGACGGUCUCAUUCAGCUGGAAGGACUGAAAGGCUUAACAUCUCAAGGUUUUCCGCAUAACUACAAAUUAUAGCGUGUUUAGGACAUCAUAUUUUAGACUCUGUAGGUGUAUAUACCCUAAUGAAGAUACACUAUAUGUAUAUUAAUUUUCGAGUUGCUUACAUUUUGUAAAUCUGUGUGAUACAAUGAUAGAGUGUGACAGGUCUUCACUUUAGUAAAUCAAGUUAAAAUCGCGACUUAAUUGGACUGAUUUAUACUUUUCUAUGCAGCAUUCCUGUAAUUUACUGUAAUUCUAAAAUAUAUCAAAAUAAUCAUGCCACUCCAACUUGAAGCAAUGUCAAGCAGGAAGCGCAGACCCAAUUGGACAGACCAGGAGUGUUAUCUUCUUGCUCAGCUAGUCCACGAAAGAAAAGAAGUCAUCAGAGGAAAGUGCAUCACUGGCUUGUAUGAUAAAAGGCAAGCCUGGGACGAGAUAACCCACACCAUCAACUCAGCCUUUCCACAGAUGCAGCGAACAGUGUCUGACUGCAGCAAAAAGUGGGAAAAUCUCCUGGCAAAGUCAAGGGAAGAGAUUAAGCGACAGAAGAUGCAAACAGGUACAGAUGAUAAUCUGUCCCUGGAUCAGUUCAGUGCUUUGACCCAGAUUGUGAUUUCUGUGAUGAACCCUUCAGUACUUCAACAAGAUGAAGAAGACUCUCAACCCUUUGAGUUGGUUGAAAGUCAACAAAACAGUGGCACUAAAGAUGGAAACAUGUUCACUGGUGAACAAUUUAAAGGUAAACAUGAGCAAGCAGAUCUUGUGCUCCCUGCCUAUGCUGCAGAUCCAUCCACGACUGCACCUGGACAAAAAAUGACCCCUUUUUCUAACAUUCCUAAACAACUCCCAGUGCAUUUUGCUGCCUCUGGAGAACAGUCACAUUCCCACUGCUUUCCUUGCACACAUGCAGCACACUGCACCACUUCACAAGCAAGAAUGGAUUUGGAAAUGUCUGUUCUAAGAAGACAGGAGGCAGUCCUCAAGCUUCAGGAGGAGUAUUAUACAUUAAAAAUUCAGCAGAUGAAGAAGCAAAUGGCAUAAUCUCCUCUACAGGACUGAAGUGUUUCUACCUGCUGCAUCUGCUUGUGGCUGGAGCACUUUGAUUCAUUUGUUUGUGGUUGGACUAGGCUGCAACUCAUGAUUAAUUUAAUAAUCAAUCUGUCGAUUAGUUUUUCAAUUAAUUGAUGAAUCUGGCAUGUAUAUUUUUUAAAUUUCCAUCCCUUUAUUCAAAAGCAGGAUAAUAUUUCUAAUUAACAGUGAAGAAAAUGCUUAAACAUACAUUUAGCAUGAUUCAGUUACUGGUUUGAUCCGUAACAUCCGUCAGAAAAUAGGCACAAAUCUUGAUCAUUGUUUUCCAAAUUAAAAGGAGAUGUUUGCAAAUGUUUUAUUUUGAUUAAAGUAGGGGACUUUAAUGCAUUCAUCAUGCAUUCUUCAUGAUUAAUUAAUCACCAGCCUUUUGAGUUCCAAAACAAUGUGGAACCUUUGUCACAGCAUGAUUUCCUGCUACACCGAUUACACUGAGAGCUCGGCUACCAAAAUGUAGGAAUUGGAUGAAACAUUGUUGCUUGGACUGAUGGGAGGCAAAUUUAAUAAUAAUCAAAAUCAAAAUCAUCUUUAUUUGCCAAGUAUGUCCAAAAAACACACAAGGAAUUUGUCUCCGGUAAUUGGAGCCGCUCUAGUAUGACAACAGACAGUCAACUGACAAAGAACACUUUUGAGACAUAAAGACAUUGAGAAAAACAGUCACUGAGCAAUAAAGGAUUGCUAGUUAUCUGGUAAUGCCGGUACAUUUUUUGUUUUGGGUUGUUUUGACAAUUGUGCAAAAAGAUGCAGGGUCCUCUAGCACUUAGAGCAGUUCGAAUGACUAAUAUUACAUUAGUCCGGUGCAAUGACCAUUGUGCAAAGGGCGCCGAGACUUCAAGCGAGUAGUACGAUAGUCUGGGACAAUGUCGAUUUUGCAAAUGUUGCAGAUACUCCUCAGUCAGUGUGCAAAUGGAGCAGAUGCUACUCUGGCAUGAGUGGCCAGUAUUGGUCAACAACAGAUACGCAAAUAGUGCAGCGUGGUGAGACUACUACAGUGAGCGCACAAGUAAUAUACAAUUGGCCCGACAAAAAUGUGACAACAAACUCAAGACAAAAAAUUGCCAGCAUGUUGCAAUGGAAUUGUAGGUUAGGUGUUUAAGAAGUUGAUUGCAAGAGGGAAGAAGCUCUUUGAUGGCAAUACUGUUCUUAAAAAAAAAAAAAAAAAAAAAAAAAACUGUCCUAAAAUGACACUUUAACUUUAGGUCUGUUUAAUUUUGGCUAGGGAUAUUUUCUUAGUUUUUCUACUGUUUUGUAUUGAAAUGCAAUUAAAUGCCAGAGUUAAGAAUAUUCCUGUUUGUGUCAAUUAUUCGAUACAGUAGUCCACUAAACUCCAUUUAAAUCGUGUUGCUUUUUAGGACAAAUAUUGUUAUAUGAUUAAGAUGUGAUUGAUUGAAAUUAAUCAAUUAUAAAGCCUCUCAUUAAUUAAUAAAUUAUUACUAAUUACAUUUGAUUGCAUUUUGAUUACUUUUCUUAAUUUUGAAUGAAUGCAUUAACAGGACCCUUGGAUGUUUCUUUGAAAAAAAUGAAUGAAACCCAUAGUCCAUUAUUUUGUAAUUUACUAAAUAUAUGUUCUUUACAGGCGUCACGGUAGACGACUGGUUAGCACAUCUGCCUCACAGUUUUGAGGACCAGGGUUCAAAUCCCGGCUCCCCCUGUGUGGCGUUUGCAUGUUCACCCCGUGCCUGCGUGGGUUUUCUCCGGGCACUCCGGUUUCGUCCCACAUCCCAAAAACAUGCAUGGUAGGUUGAUUGGAAACUCGAAAUUGCCCGUAGGUGUGAAUGUGUGCGUGAAUGGUUGUUUGUUUAUAUGUGCCCUGCGAUUGGUUGGCGACCAGUUCAGGGUGUACCCCGCCUCUCGCCCGAAGAUAGAUGGGAUAGGCUCCAGCACGCCCGUGACCCGUGUGAGGAUAAAGCGGUAAAGAAAAUGAAACAUUUAAUGUUCUUUCCACAAAUAAUAAACUGAUAACAAAAAAUGAAAUGUAAAUGAAUAAUAACAAACAUGUUUGUUGCAUUAUGUGUAAAACAUGAUACCAUGUUCCCCUAAUGACAAAUAUGGACAAUCUAGACUAUAGUGCUUCAUACCCAGAUAAGUGAAUGUUCCAUUAAAAAGUCCAAAAUUAUAAAGAUCAAACUGUUCAAAAGCCCAUGUUCUUUUAUGUGCUCAAAAGUGUAACUAUGAGCAAACCUAUGGAUUGCACUACAAGAUCAUAUUUGGUAAAAUAUGUUUAAGACUAUGGCAGAAUGGCACAUGACCAGAGAGAGCCAAUCACAAGCAUGGGUUUUAGCAGGAGGAAGUAAUAUAUACAAAAAAAUAAUAAUCUGAGUUUUUGCAGCUCUUUUUAAAAUUGAACUAAAAUUGUAAUCAUGGACUUUUCCAAAGCAACUGUAAUUUAAUUACACAUGAUCUCGCAGUAAUGUGUUGAAUUACAAUUACAUAAUUGUUUUAAUUAAAUGUUAUUAUUUACUCCCAACACUGUGUAAUUCAUAUUUUGCCUCUGAGAAUACAGUGAACACUUGCUGUUUGCAGGUUUUAAGGACCCAGCGAAAAUGAUUGAUGCCCCCCCCACCCCCUUUAAUGUUUACAAUUGCCUAUAUUAGUAAUUUAGACCCUAAAUAUACCCCCAACUUUGGUUCCCAGACACUAACAGAAUUUCAAAAUCAUUUUGCAACAUUACCCUUAAAAAUAAAUGGCUUAUGAGUUGAGUUUGAAAGACUUGCACUGCUGCGAGGACACUGGCUUGUACUUUACUGCUUUGCAAUGACGAAUUACUACUUUCCUGUUAGCCAUUUUUUAUAUAUAUGUUUGACUCAGUGAUACAGUAGAUACUCUAAUUUUUUUAAAUACUGUACAGACUGUAUAUGGCAAACAAGCCUUUAUGUUUAGUCGCGCACUUCCGUUGAGAAGCUAUGUAGUCUUUACCAAUGGAUCAAAUGUUAACUUCCACCGUUGCCUGCAUCAUCCUGACAAGCUCACCGCACUCCUUUUUCUGACGUCAGCCCCACAACAAGUCUCGACUGUCUGUUGGACCGUUACUGGAGUCUUCCAUCACGCUGCUGUUCACUAUCAAGCUAUCAUCUGUUGGCUAUAACUACUACAGGGUGUUUGGGCAAGAUGGUAGCAAGAAUAAAUGAGUUUUAAGUAAAUAUUGGUUUGUUAGGUUCUAGAGAAAAAUUUACAAGCAUGAUUUCACAAAUGCCGAAUCUCGCAUUGGCAGCGAUUCAUCCUAGUUUGCUGCUUAGCUUCAUGUAGACAUCAGUAAGAUUUGAACACUGCUAUGGUCUUGUUUUAAAGUGUUCUACAGAAGUGCAGAUCUUUUACAAACAUUAUACAAGCGUUCCACUUCACUGACUGAACCUUAGUCUAUUUAGAACUAUUAAUACUGGCAGAAAGUAUUCAUUGACAUUCAGGAGACUUCCCCUAAAACUUAGAUUUUAUUUUUUACGUGGAAACAUUUUUACUAUAUUUUAUAACCCCAAGGUACUCCAUUUGAUUCAACAGUUUUUUUUAGACAGGUUUGCCCAUUAUCGAGUUUGCUAAGUGUAUAGUUUAUACACUGAACAAAAAUAUAAAUGCACAUUUUUCCUCUUUAAUUUUUUCAUAAACUGAACUCAAAGAUCUGACUAUUGCUUCAUACACAGAAGGCCAAUUUCUGUCAAAUAUUAUUCAUAAAUCAGAUGUGUGAAAGAUCAAUUCUCCUUUUCCGUGAUAAUCCAUCCUAGCUCACAGAUUUGUCAUAUGAAGAUGCUGAUUACUGAACAGGUGUGCCAUAGGUUUCCCACAAUAAAGGGUCUGUCUUAAAUGUGCAAUUUCAUUGGAUUGGAGGGGUCCGAGGUAGUUUAAAAAACAAUUGCACUGUGUUAGGCAAAUGAUGGUCACACCAAAUACUGACUUGUUUUCUGACCCCACCGUACCCCCAAUACAGUAAAACCUCACAUUUUAGCGUGGCCUUUUUUUUUUUUUUGGCAGCCCAAGGCACACCUGUGCAAUACAUGUGUUGCAGUGUGUGAGGCAAAUCGUCAUAUUAGAUACUGACUGGUUUUCUUGUAGUCAUGCCAAUCAAGUGUUUAUGUUAACUUUUUAGACAACUGUUAAAUAGAUUUUUUACUUGCUGUCCGCAACCCACCCAAAACUUGUGGCUCAUGACCACCACUAGUUCAGGAUCCCACUGCAGAGAACAUAGGUAAAAAAAAAAAAGUACUUAUGUAGGAAGGGAAUUAGCACAAUAAAAUGCCUUUAUGAACUCAAAAUUGUAAUUCUGUUUGGGGAUUUGACAUGGGUAUUAUAAUAAUAAAACUCCACCAAUAAUUUGUCAUCAGAAACAGACAUUUUAUAAUAUGAUUUAUUAAACUGCAUAAUUCAAUCUGCCAUAUAAUUAUCACAGAAAUCUAAAUUUUUGUCCAAAAUAUAGUUCUAUUUGGAUAUUGCCCCAAGUGGUCAGAAUGCAUUUUUGUUGCAUACCAAAGGUUGGUAGAUCCUGUUUGUUGUUAACACCUAAUAAUUGGUCAUUGAGUCAAGGGAAAUGUCAUGCAUAGUCACUGGCUUUGAUUGGCCAACACUUUUUAUCAAGAAAUUGCACCCAAAGAUGAACCAGUUCACAAUUCUCCUCUUGGCUGAUUUCUUUUCACUUUGUCAUGAGAUUACACAAAGAAGCAGUGGGUUUCAGAUGUGUCUCUAAUUUACUCAAAUGUUGUUAAUAAACCUGUCAGACACUUCCAAAGAAAUGACACCAUCAUCUGGCUUUUCAAAUUGUUUAAAGGCAUAGUAAGCUUACUGUAUGUAAACUUCUGACUUGAAGAAAGUAAUGAAAAAUUGUCUUAAAUAUUCUUCUCUCAUUAUUCUGGCAUUUUGCAAAUAGAAAUAAUUUUGCCCAUCCUAACAGGAUUAGUUUAGUCUGAUUUCCUGUCAGACCAUGACUUUUUUACAGUGCAUGUAAACAUUUGUUUUCAACUGUAAACAUUUGGAAAAUAUGGCACGGAAAAUAUUUAGAUUGAUCUUAAUACCUCAAAAUUCAUAAGCUAUUUCGAGUUUUAACUUAUUGCGAUUUAUUGUCCCCCUAUAUAGCAGCAUAUUACUUUUCUAAUGAGGUCUACUUACAAAGUAAUUUUUUCAAUGAUGAUUUACAUGUGCCUAUCUUGAACAGGAAAGGCAACCGGUGUGUUUUUCUCUGUGAGACAUUUGGUUUCAUGCUGAUUCAUAGCAUUUACUCUAUAGUGCAAAUUUGGACGCACUAAAUGUUAAACUUGCAGUACCCCAAUAUGAAAACUGUUCAUGCCAAUGUAAAUAGAACUGAAAUAAUUUCCGGUCUAGACAAAUAUGUUGUAAUUUGUGCCUAAUAUUUCUCAUAAAUCAGUGUAUGAG